GUGGGUGUAGCUCAGUUGGCAGAGCGUCAGGUUGUGGUCCUGAAAGUCGCGGGUUCAAACCCCGUCACUCACCCCA
rnacentral:tRNA from 1 species